AGGUUGGAAAGUGUUAGUUUGGGAAAAAGGUAAGAGCUUUAUGCAACAAGAGGUUACCAAUGGAAAAAAAAUCAGACAUGAAAAUUUACCAAAACGCGUAGAUCUAUUAUGAAAGAGAAGACAAGAAAGUAGACUCCGCUAGAAGACUUCGAGAAAGUCUUCCAUGAAGACAGAAAGUCUUCUGGCGCAUAAUAUUUUAGAAGGCUUCCCAAAAGUUUUCCAGAGUCAAACCCAUAUCUGAAAAACCUGCAUAUCCAAACUCAUAUCUGAAAAAUAUGCAUAUCCAAAAUCGUUCAAAUGACUUCAAAAAUAGAAUUAAAUAGAAGAUUAGAUAUAUCUACCUUUAUAGAACAAAAAAAAAAUAGAUAUCCAAAAUUGAUAGAUUUA
rnacentral:lncRNA from 1 species